GGACCCAGGAGGACGACGACGAGGAGAAAGCGAUGCGCGCGCGGCUCCCGGGAACCGGCUCUUGGCUAGCGAGGAGCCCCCGGGAUGGCUGAGAAGCAGAACCAACCCGCCCGCCGCCUCUCCAGGGUCAAGCGAAACUGGGUCGCAGGAAGAAAAAUAACGAAGAGAUUGUAGAUUAAGAAAAGGCAACAAAAACACUACCAGGCCGCUAGGAGGACCGCCUCAAAAUGCCGCCGGAAGUCAGAGGUUUGCCCUGUUCCUCUGUAGACCCAGGCAGCUUCCGGCCGUCAGAUUAGUCGUCAGUGCGCAGACACCACCCUUCGUGGACACGCCCUCUAGGCGUAAGGUUCCAUGCGAGCGGUAAGAGUGCGGCGGGACUUGGAAAUCGAAUCUGUGCUCUGUGAGAGAUCCUAGGAAAGGAAACUGGGAGCCCGGGAGAACUAAAAUUCCCAAUUAAAAGUGAAUUUAAGUGUUUUAUAUUUCAAGUGCUUACCUGCCUAAUUAUAGCAACUCAACAAUGUAAUCAACUCUCCUCUACGUUUUCCCAGAUGAGUUUGAAUACCAAGUUUAGAAUCUGUAAUCCUGAAAUCCUGCUCCAACCCAGGAGUUGAGCCUACCUGAAUAGGAGUGUUGGGUGCCAACGCUAGACUGCUCUGAAGUACCACCGAUUGCACAAAUCCCUUCCUUCUUAUUGAUUGCUUUUCUAAAGGUCUUGGCAACAUCUGUGCUUUUUAGGCCAUGGAAAAUCUGCAAAAAUAUAAUGUAUCUUUAGAAACUCAAGCAGUGAUCAAGAAAAUCACAAAGGAAAGAAUAUGUAAUGUCGAAGCAAGGAGGUAAGGAAUGUCUUUCUGGAUAUUUUUUAAAACAGAAUUCAAGUUCCAAGUUUCAAAUGUGUCUCCUUGUAUUCUGCAUGGUACUCACCUUGAUAAACUCAUCAAAGCUGAUCCUUCCAUCUUGGUCCAGAUCACCUGUAGCCAUCAGGUUUUCUGUAAUUUCUCGUACUCUAUACCCAGGCAAAGGCAAGCAAGCAGCCUUGAACAAGUCAUUCAACUCAUUGAAGCUGAUGUAUCCAUUGCCAUCAGUAUCUGUAAUGUACACAAUAUACUGAAGCUUCAGGACGAUUCAGGCAACAGCUUUUAGAGAGGUGAGGGAAGACUAGAUGGAAGGUGAAGGGACGAGAGAGGCUAUCAUUCAGACAUUAAGGCAUGAUCCCAGGGAAGAGUCAGAAUCUCACAAGAUGACUGUUGCUACUGAAUAGGGGCACCAGCAUUACUUUCAACAUCCACAGUAAAAGAGUCAUAAUUUCUAUAAGGUACCUCUGUUUCCACAAAGAACUCUUAUAGAAACUCUUAAGGAAACCACAGGUUUAGUGAUAAAGAGUAAGAGAAAGUAUGUGAUGGUAUUAAAAUCAAGGAAACAGCAAAACAGAAGACAAGAUAUAAAAGAUGAGACUUACAAACCAUUUCCAGGAACAAACUAUGUAAGAGUAGAGUCCAUAUUCCAUGUUUUGAUAGAGAAAGUCAUUUUAUUGAAGCAUAUUUUUCAAAAAUAAGUUCUCCCAGCUCCUCUAAACAAAUACUACUGGUUUCUUGUCAUCUCUGAAAUUUUGCUCAUGUUCCCAUUUCAUUGAAUCUACCCUGAAGCUACUCAGUGAAGAAGAGAAUGAUGCAAUUUGGGGUACCAGGUCUACUCACCAACUUUGGCAAAAGCUUCUCUGAGCUCCAUCAUUUCCUCAUCGGACACUGAUCCUCUGGCCAUUUUUUAUUGCUUUAGGUAACAGAUCUGGAGAGAAGAAGAACAUAAGGGAUAACUUUUGUGCAUUUGAAUUCUUAAAAUACCACAUUAAGAAGCAAUUCCCAUUUAUUACAUGAAGAAAUAUUCUUCUGCAUCCCCCAUGAUUUAGAACUAUCUUUCCAAAAUGUAAGUCAGAAAUACGCUUUUUCUCAAUCCUCCAUGUGGUGGUCUCCAAAGAUGGCUCUCAACAAUUUCUUCCCUCUCGGUCUAUACAGACUGCUCCUCACAUCAAGAGGUAGAGCUUAUUUCCCUCCCCUAGAAUCUGGGCUGGUUUUUUAACUGCUUUGACCAUUAGAGGGUGGUAGAAAUGAUGUCUGGGGCUGGAAACUUCUGCUUCCUUCUUUUUGGAAUGCUCAUUCUUAGGAUGCUCCCUCUUGGUACCCAAUUUCCAUGACAUGAGACAUUUAAGCCACAUAAAUAAAGAAGCCAAUGAAGGAGAACUGGGUGCACUGGUUAACAAACCUGCUGAGAUCCCAUCUGACAGCCAGCAUCAAUGCCAGCAACCUGAGAGGGCCAUUUUGGGCUUUCUGGCCCAUUUGAGCUCCUAGAUGACCACAUUCCCAGCCAACAUCACAUUAAGCAGAAGAAUCGCCCAGCUGUGCUCAGUCAACCAAAAGAACAGAGAAGACAAAACGAGUGAUGUCUUAAGUCACUACGUUUUAGAGUAGUUACCCAGCAAUAAGCAACUAAAACACUUCACUUUUACAUAAAUGUCUUUUUUAAGAGGUAUCUUCGUGUUCAUAUUUAAAAUUAGUAUUUGACCAAGCCAACAGAUACAGUUUAUAACUUCAAAGGAAGUUAAUCAAAAUUCUCCAUAUUAUUUAGGGAUGAACAAAGGGAAGCUGACCCUCUCAUAAUUCAGCUAUGGGAAUCUGAGGCGCUUUCUAGGUGUUUUCUUCUCAGAAAAGCGACAGUCUUGCUGAGAAACAGUGCUUGAGUAAUUUCCCUUUUCCUGUGCAUCACUGCUGCCCUCUAGUGGGUGAGAAGAAAAUAAAACAGAAAAUGGAUGAUAAUCUCCAUGCCCCUAGCUAAUCCACACCAGCAUGUUUCAAAUCGGAGACCCACUGAAGUUUGUUGAACUUACUGGUGCAGAGGGGAUAAGUGGAGUGGGAGUGUGGGGGUUGGGGUGUUUCUAAGCAUAGUUAUAUUUUGGAUAGUUCAGGGAAGUUAUCGAUUUAAAAAAAAAUUUGUGACAGGAUGUUGUUUUCAGUAGAUUUCUUUUUUAUAUUUUCAUAUUAUUCUAUAGUGCUGUAUUUGUUCUUGAUGGCCACCAACAACCACACCAAACAGAAAACAGUCUUAAUUAACAUCAAAACCUGUAGGCCAAAAAUGCAUUACACUCAAUUUUGCAAAUCCAUAUCCAUUAUCCAACAAAUUACCAUCCUGCCACAUACAUAUAUCAGUGGUUUCAAACUUUUGUUCCACCAAGCAACCCUUUGUUGACAGAAACCUUACAUGUAAACCUUACAUGUAAGCAAACAAAUAAAAAUAACAACUCUGAGAGUCUUUGGUUGAAAAAACCCAAAUGUACCCCUGCCCCUGCUAUCUUAUCUCCUUGUCACCUUCAUCUGUGGGAACUCCAGGGAGCAUGAUUUGAAAAUCAUAGAAUUAUAUAUGUCUUCAUUUAAAUUUAAAUGUAUUCAUUAAAAAUAUAUUUUUGAUAUCAAUAAAAAUUUUAUUU
ensembl:lncRNA CPB2-AS1 CPB2 antisense RNA 1